rnacentral:rRNA from 1 species
ACGGGGCGCAGCAGUCGCGAAAACUCCGCAAUGCACGAAAGUGUGACGGGGCUACCCCGAGUGCCAUCCGCUGAGGAUGGCUUUUCCUUGGUAUAACUAGCCAGGGGAAUAAGGAGAGGGCAAGACUGGUGUCAGCCGCCGCGGUAAUACCAGCUCUCCGAGUGGUAGGGAUGAUUAUUGGGCUUAAAGCGUCCGUAGCCGGCUUAGCAAGUCUCCUGUUAAAUUCAGCGACCUAAUCGUUGAGCCGCGGGAGAUACUACUAGGCUAGGAGGCGGGAGAGGUCGACGGUACCUCUGGGGUAGGGGUGAAAUCCUAUAAUCCCAGGAGGACCACCAGUGGCGAAGGCUGUUGACUAGAACGCGCUCGACGGUGAGGGACGAAAGCUGGGGGAGCGAACCGGAUUAGAUACCCGGGUAGUCCCAGCCGUAAACGAUGCGGGCUAGGUGUUGGGGUGGCUACGUGCCACUUCAGUGCCGCAGGAAACCAUUAAGCCCGCCGCCUGGGGAGUACGGCCGCAAGGCUGAAACUUAAAGGAAUUGGCGGGGGCACAC